rnacentral:rRNA from 1 species
UGGGGAAUAUUGCACAAUGGGCGCAAGCCUGAUGCAGCCAUGCCGCGUGUAUGAAGAAGGCCUUCGGGUUGUAAAGUACUUUCAGCGGGGAGGAAGGGAGUAAAGUUAAUACCUUUGCUCAUUGACGUUACCCGCAGAAGAAGCACCGGCUAACUCCGUGCCAGCAGCCGCGGUAAUACGGAGGGUGCAAGCGUUAAUCGGAAUUACUGGGCGUAAAGCGCACGCAGGCGGUUUGUUAAGUCAGAUGUGAAAUCCCCGGGCUCAACCUGGGAACUGCAUCUGAUACUGGCAAGCUUGAGUCUCGUAGAGGGGGGUAGAAUUCCAGGUGUAGCGGUGAAAUGCGUAGAGAUCUGGAGGAAUACCGGUGGCGAAGGCGGCCCCCUGGACGAAGACUGACGCUCAGGUGCGAAAGCGCGGGGAGCAAACAGG